rnacentral:rRNA from 1 species
UACGGAGGGAGCUAGCGUUAUUCGGAAUUACUGGGCGUAAAGCGCACGUAGGCGGCUUUGUAAGUAAGAGGUGAAAGCCCAGAGCUCAACUCUAGAAUUGCCUUUUAGACUGCAUCGCUUGAAUCAUGGAGAGGUCAGUGGAAUUCCGAGUGUAGAGGUGAAAUUCGUAGAUAUUCGGAAGAACACCAGUGGCGAAGGCGGCUGACUGGACAUGUAUUGACGCUGAGGUGCGAAAGCGUGGGGAGCAAACAGG